GAUGAAGAACGUAGCGAAAUGUGAUACUUGGUGUGAAUUGCAGAAUCCCGUGAACCAUCGAGUCUUUGAACGCAAGUUGCGCCCGAAGCCAUCAGGUUGAGGGCACGUCUGCCUGGGCGUCACAUAUCGUUGCUCGAUGCCUAUCGCAUUGCGAUAGGACUUAGGGCGAAUGAUGGCUUCCCGUGAGCGUUGUUGCCUCGCGGUUGGUUGAAAAUCGAGUGCAUGGUGUCGGGUGUACCAUGAUGGAUGGUGGUUGAGUGAUGAUGCUCGAGACCAAUCAUGGGUAACUCCACCAGAAUUGGGCUCGGUGACCCACAUGCGUCCCUUGGAUGCUCCCUAAGGAGACCUCAGGUCAGGCGGGGCUACCCGCUGAGUUUAAGCAUAUCAAUAAGCGGAGGA
rnacentral:misc_RNA from 1 species